rnacentral:rRNA from 1 species
CCCCGGGCUCAACCUGGGAACUGCGUUNUGAACUGGGUGACUAGAGUGUNUCAGAGGGAGGUAGAAUUCCACGUGUAGCAGUGAAAUGCGUAGAGAUGUGGAGGAAUACCGAUGGCGAAGGCAGCCUCCUGGGAUAACACUGACGUUCAUGCCCGAAAGCGUGGGUAGCAAACAGGAUUAGAUACCCUGGUAGUCCACGCCCUAAACGAUGUCGAUUAGCUGUUGGGCAGCAUGACUGCUUAGUAGCGAAGCUAACGCGUGAAAUCGACCGCCUGGGGAGUACGGUCGCAAGAUUAAAACUCAAAGGAAUUGACGGGGACCCGCACAAGCGGUGGAUGAUGUGGAUUAAUUCGAUGCAACGCGAAGAACCUUACCUGGUCUUGACAUGUACGGAACCCUCCAGAGACGGAGGGGUGCCUUCGGGAGCCGUAACACAGGUGCUGCAUGGCUGUCGUCAGCUCGUGUCGUGAGAUGUUGGGUUAAGUCCCGCAACGAGCGCAACCCAUGUCAUUAGUUGCCAUCAUUAAGUUGGGCACUCUAAUGAGACUGCCGGUGACAAGCCGGAGGAAGGUGGGGAUGACGUCAAGUCCUCAUGGCCCUUAUGACCAGGGCUUCACACGUCAUACAAUGGUCGGUACAGAGGGUAGCCAAGCCGCGAGGUGGAGCCAAUCUCACAAAACCGAUCGUAGUCCGGAUUGCACUCUGCAACUCGAGUGCAUGAAGUCGGAAUCGCUAGUAAUCGCAGGUCAGCAUACUGCGGUGAAUACGUUCCCGGGUCUUGUACACACC